rfam:Rattus norvegicus chromosome 2, whole genome shotgun sequence.
GGGGAUUUAGCUCAGCGGUAGAGUGCUUGCCUAGCAAGCACAAGGCCCUGGGUUCGAUCCCCAGCUCCA